CCCUUAGAUGUUCUGGGCUGCACGCGCGCUACACUGAUGCGAUCAACAAGUUUUUCCUAUGUCGAUAGACACGGGUAAUCUUUUGAACUCACAUCGUGAUGGGGAUAGAUUAUUGUAAUUAUUAAUCUUCAACGAGGAAUUCCUAGUAGGUGCAAAUCAUCAGUUUGCAUCGAUUACGUCCCUGCCCUUUGUACACACCGCCCGUCGCUGCUACCGAUUGGUUGAUCUGGUGAAUUAUUCGGACUGCCGGCUGAAGGGGUUUCCUCAUCUGCCAGCGGAAAGUCUUGUUAACCCUAUCAACUAGAGGAAGCAGAAGUCGUAACA
rnacentral:rRNA from 1 species